AUGGUAAGACCGCUUUUAAGAUGACUCUUUUCAGUCAUCUGGCUCGCCGAGUCACAGAGGGCAACAGUUACGUUUUCGCCCAUUUCAUGGCGGAGACCAACAAGCCAAAUGUGCUGCUCUGUCAAAAGAGCAGCAAAAUAUACGUCAGGGCGGAGGUGAAGUGCAGCGAUGCCUUAAGGGCUGAGGCACGCGCACUAAUUUUCCCCCCGUCGUUGGCAAUGCCCCUCAGCGAGGUGAUCAGAAACCCUCUUGAGGGGCUGGUAAACGUUGAGGGACAGGUCGAAAGUAUGCGUCCAAUCCGCAUGGUGCGCCAGAGAGGGAACAACCUUGCGCCAUUUCGGGCUUUGACACUCAAAAAAGAUGAAGCCGCUGUCAAAAUUGGCCUUUGGCGGGAGGCUAAUCUCGUUGAAUUAAAAGUAGGGGGUUCCUUCGUUUUCACCCACCUGAGUGCCCGGGUGAACGAUUCGGGAGUAAUGCUCCACUCUACGACUUUCACAGAAAUAAAGGCCUGCAACUCCAGCCUCAUCCUAAAUGUCUGUGGUAUCCUCUAUGGGGAAGAGGUGGUGGAGGUUGUGUCCGAUUCGGGCGAAGUGACAAGCAUCAAGCUUGAGAUCUGGCAGAAAACUUUCAGCCAGCCCCCGAAGAUACCACAAGAUGGGCUGGCCAUCACUGUCACACGUGUGCAGGGUGACGUGAUAAAAAUUGAAUGCGUGAAUGAAUGCAUGGAUGAAUGCGUGAAUGAAUGAAUGCAUGAAGGAAUGAAUGUCUAUGCAUAAUUGUUCAAAUUAAAAUUCAACCAAAUUCUCCAAAUUUUGUUUUUCAACUGUAAUUUCUACAUUUUUCAACUGAUUCGACCCAUUCCAACUUUCAACUGUUAAUCAUUUUUCUACCUAUUCCACAACUUCCCAAAAACUUCACAUCUUUUAUUUUGAAAUUCACACCCAAUUCUCCAAUAUUUCCUUUUUCCUUUCUCUUUUCUACAUUUUUCAACCCAUUCCAACUGUUCAUCAUUUUUCUACCUAUUCCGCAACUUCCCACUUACCAAACACUUCACAUCUUUUAUUUUGAAAGUCACAGCCAGUUCCUUUUUCCCUUCUCAUUUCUACAUUUUUCAACCGAUUCAACCCAUUCCAACUUUCAUCUGUUCACCAUUUUUCUACCUAUUCCACAACUUCCCACUUACCAAAAACUUUACAUCUUUUAUUUUGAAAUUCACACCCAAUUCUUUUUUCCCUUCUCAUUUCUACAUUUUUCAACCGAUUCAACCCAUUCCAACUUUAAACUGUGUAUCAUUUUUCUACCUAUUCCACAACUUACCAAAUAUUUCACAUCUUUCAUUUUGAAAUUCACUCCCAAUUCCUUUUUCCCUUCUCAUUUCUACAUUUUUCAACCGAUUCAACCCAUUCCAACUUUCAACUGUUCAUCAUUUUUCUACCUAUUCCACAAUUUCCCACUUACCAAAAACUUCACAGCUUUUAUUUUGAAAUUCACACCCAAUUCCUUUUUCCCUUCUCAUUUCUACAUUUUUCAACCGAUUCAACCCAUUCCAACUUUCAACUGUUCAUCAUUUUUCUACCUAUUCCACAACUUACCAAAAACUUCACUUCUAUUUUGAAAUUCACACCCAAUUCUCCAAUAUUUCCUUUUUCCCUUCUCAUUUCUACAUUAUUCAACCGAUUCAACUCGUUUCAACAUCAUUCUGCAGCAUUCCUUAAAUAUUUAUUCAACUUCACCUUCACACGCAAUUUCUUCAGGAAUUGCAAAUUCUAGUUUUAAAUGUUUUUUAACUCGUAUCCUCACCAACUCAAUGUUUGUUGUUUCAGUUUUUCCGUGUUUCCUCUAACUCCACGUGUUCCCUUUGUCAAGACAGGAGUUUGGCCCCUGCGGUACUGAACCUUGAUGGGAUUUGGCCUGUCUUGCCAGAGAAAUGACACAGCACAGCGACAGCCAAGUCUUUCAAAAGGACUCGUACGAUGGAGGCCAGCAUCAUGGAACGCAAACUCCCAAACCAGCGUGGCAAUCGUGACUUCUGCUGAUUCUUCUACGGAACAAUCAAGGGCACCUCUGGCAGCUCUUCGCUUUGACUUUGACAUCUACCUCUUUUAUUUUUAACAUGCUGUCUUUUAUGUGCCCUCUCUGCAUCCAUUGCAGCCUGGUGAUUCUGAAAGGGGGAUCCUCCCAUCUGUGGUCCCUUCUCAAGGUUUCUCCUUUUUCCCCUGGUGUUUUUUGUUUUAGUUUUUCCUUGCCCUUUUGGGAGCUUAAGAUCAGGGGAUGCUUUGAGAAUAAUUGCCAAUUUGUCUAUGUAAAGCCCUUUGAGACUGCUUGUGAUUUAGGGCUAUGUAAAUAUAUUUUACUUGACUUCUAUGGAAAAUUGUCAGGAAGCCCGUUUUAGUUUUGCUGCUUUUCCUCACCUCCAUGUUUUUAUUGUAUCUUCUUGGGUAUUGCCUGGCCUUUGACUGUUGGAAACUUGCCCCUCUGGUUUUACUCUAUUAAGUCUCAAAUACGUACAGUCUGUUUUCUGUUCUCCUUUAUUUAUGUAUUUAUUUGUUUAUUUGUUUGAUUGCUUAUUUAUUGUUUAAUCAUACAUUUAUUUGGUUACUUUUUCAGCAAUGCUUUGAACUCUGAAGUCGUAAUCAUUUUGAUUUGCACAAUUGUUGGACUUCAUACAUUUCUUUGCCUCAAACCAUGUUUACAUUAUCUUUUGUAUAUGUAUCUCAAGUCUGUCUAAUACCAUCUGCAAUCAUG